rnacentral:tRNA from 1 species
UGGGGAGUAGCCAAGCGGUAAGGCAACGGGUUCUGGCCCCGUCAUGCGAAGGUUCGAUCCCUUCCUCCCCAG